rnacentral:rRNA from 1 species
CCUACGGGAGGCAGCAGUGGGGAAUAUUGCGCAAUGGGGGAAACCCUGACGCAGCAACGCCGCGUGAAGGAAGAAGGCCUUCGGGUUGUAAACUUCUUUGAUUGGGGACGAAGGAAGUGACGGUACCCAAAGAACAAGCCACGGCUAACUACGUGCCAGCAGCCGCGGUAAU